CAUGAUAAUCAAGUCAACGAUGAGAGAUAAUGCAGGAGAUACACAUUCGUUAAAAUUGUAAAUGCAUGAUCAACAGUGAAAUACACGUGAUGUUGAAUUGGGGUUAAGGAGUGGAUAGUGAAUUUUGGACAACAAUGGACUUGAUGAAGCUUUGGGGCUACUCUUCUCUGGAAAAUAAUACUCCCUUCUUUGGAAAUUAUACUGGGUCAAGAGUCUCCUGGAUUGUGAUUAUUAUAACAUUCCUGAGGCACAAAUCAUGUCAAAGAACGCAAAGUAAUGGUACUGUAACAACAAAAGCCUUUUUAUUUAUAGUUCAUACUUUGGGAAUGUGAAAAUACAAAUCUGAUUGGCCAAUCAGCUAACCAAUCCAUCCUGGGCAGUGUUCCUACAAAGCUCUUGCCUUUUGUCAUAUGCACAGAGCUGAAAUCUUUUUAGUGUGUCAAUUUGUUUGAAAUGACAUGAAAUUAAUUUUCUUGUAUGUACUGUUAUAUAUGUUUAAUGAACAAUACACACAAUGAAGAAAUGUUUAAGAGUACAUCUUUUUCACUCACACACACACACACACACACACACACACACACACACACACACACACACACACACACACACACACACACACACACACACACACACACACACACACACACACGUUAUGUAUUUUUCACUGAUCCAAGCACUGCAGUACAAAAAUGUGAAGUAACUUGUAAUUUGAGUAACUUUGUAACAAAGUACUUUUUUACUCUUAGGUUUUCCAAUUGGAACAUUUACUUUUAGUGGGUAGAUUUUGAAGGAAGUAAUUGUACUUUAACUUGAGUAUAGUUUUUCAGUACUCUACCCACCACUGGUUAUAC